UCCAGGGUAGCCUAGUGGACAUGGCAUCUGCCCGGUAAGCGGAACACUGUGGGUUCGAUUCCCACCCCUGGAC
rnacentral:tRNA from 1 species